GACGAACCGUGCGAACGUUGUUCGGAAUCACUGGGCUUAAAGGGCGCGUAGGCGGCUUGCCAAGUCAGGGGUGAAAUCCAGCAGCUUAACUGUUGAAGUGCCUUUGAUACUGGCGAGCUCGAGGGAGGUAGGGGUUUGUGGAACUUCUGGUGGAGCGGUGAAAUGCGCAGAUAUCAGGAGGAACACCGGUGGCGAAGGCGCCGCUCUGGGCCGAAACUGACGCUGAGGAGCGAAAGCGUGGGGAGCGAACAGG
rnacentral:rRNA from 1 species